GCUAGUUGAAUAGGUUGGCACCUGGACGGUACCUAACCAGAAAGCCACGGGCAAAUACGUGCCAGCAGCCGCGGUAAUAUGUAGGUGGCAAGCGUUAUCCGGAAUUAUUGGGGCUAAAGCGCGCUGCAGGUGGUUUUUUAAGUUUGAUGUGAAAGCUCACGGUUCAACCGUGGAGGGUCAUUGGAAAGCCUGGGAGACUUGAGUGCAGAAGAGGAAAGUGGAAUUCCAUGUGUAGCGGUGAAAUGCGUAGAGAUAUGCGAGGAACACCAGUGGCGAAGGCGACUUUGCUGGUCUGUAAUCUGACAUUGAGGCGCAGAAAGCGUGGCGGAGCAAACAGGAUUAGAUACCCUGGUAGUCCACGCUGUACAACGAUGAGUGCUAAGUGUUAGAGGGUUGCUCUCCGCCCUUUAGUGCUGAAAGUUAACGCAUUAAGCCACCUCCGCCUGAGGGAGUACGGCCUUGCAAGGCUGAAACUCAAAGCGAAUUGACCGGGCGUGUCCCGCACAAGCGGUGGAGCAUGUGGUUUAAUUAGAAGCAACGCGAAGAACCUUACCAGGUCUUGACAUCCUCUGAAAACCCUAGAGAUAGGGCUUCUCCUUCGGGAGCAGAGUAGACAGGUGGUGCAUGGUUGUCGUCAGCUCGAAACGUGAGAUGUUGGGUUAAGUCCCGCCACGAGCGCAACCCUUGAUCUUAGUUGCCAUCAUUAAGUUGGGCACUCUAAAGUAACUGCCGGUGACAAACCGGAGGAAGGUGGGGAUGACGUCAAAUCAUCAUGCCCCUUAUGACCUGGGCUACACACGUGCUACAAUGGACGGUACAAAGAGCUGCAAGACCGCGAGGUGGAGCUAAUCUCAUAAAACCGUUCUCAGUUCGGAUUGUAGGCUGCAACUCGCCUACAUGAAGCGGGAAUCGCUGU
rnacentral:rRNA from 1 species